rnacentral:rRNA from 1 species
AGGGCGUACGGCGAAUGCCUUGCCACUCGAAACUGAAGAAGGACGCGCCAAACUGCGAAAAGCUCCGUGAAGCUGUAAGGAAGCGAAGAAGCGGAGGUGUCCGAAUGGGGGAACCCGGCAGCAGACAUGAGCUGUCAUCUGCAGGUGAAUACAUGGCCUGCAAGAGAGGUACCCGGCGAACUGAAACAUCUAAGUAGCCGGAGGAAAAGAAAACAACAGUGAUUCCCUGAGUAGCGGCGAGCGAAAGGGGAGAAGCCCAAACCGGUUGAAGGACCGGGGUUGAAGGACCAUGACAUGGCAAGAACGAGGAUAGGAGAACGGGAUCGAAAGCCCGGCCGAAGAAGGUGAAAGCCCUGUAACCGAAAUCCGAGCAAAGCCUAAUGGGAUCCUGAGUACGGCGAGACACGAGAAAUCUUGUCGGAAGCAGGCGGGACCAUCCGCCAAGGCUAAAUAUAAGCGAGUGAGCGAUAGUGAACCAGUACCGUGAGGGAAAGGUGAAAAGAACCGCGGGAGCGGAGUGAAAGAGAACCUGAAACCGUAUGCCUACAAGAAGUCAGAGCCCGUUAAGGGGUGAUGGCGUGCCUUUUGUAGAAUGAACCGGCGAGUUGCGACAGACUGCGAGGUUAAGGAGGAAAGACCGGAGCCGAAGCGAAAGCGAGUCUUAAGAGGGCGAAAGUAGGAUGUUGCAGACCCGAAACCGGGUGAUCUAGCCAUGAGCAGGUUGAAGUUGAGGUGAAACUCAAUGGAGGACCGAACCGACUACCGUUGAAAAGUUAGCGGAUGACUUGUGGCUAGGGGAGAAAUUCCAAUCGAACCCGGAGAUAGCUGGUUCUCCCCGAAAUAGCUUUAGGGCUAGCGUCGAGAGAAGAGUUGCGUGAAGGUAGAGCACUGAAUGUGUGAUGGCCCCAUCCCGGGGUACUGAAUACAAUCAAACUGCGAAUGUCAUUAAGGAUGUCCGGCAGUCAGACUGUGAGUGAUAAGGUCCAUGGUCAAGAGGGAAACAGCCCAGACCGCCAGUUAAGGUCCCAAAAUACAGGCUAAGUGGAAAAGGAUGUGGGGAUGCACAGACAACUAGGAGGUUGGCUCAGAAGCAGCCAUCCUUGAAAGAGUGCGUAACAGCUCACUAGUCGAGUGACCCUGCGCCGAAAAUGUACCGGGGCUAAGCCUGAUACCGAAACUGCGGAUUGUAGGAAACUAUAGUGGUAGGGGAGCGUUGUAUACGAGCAGAAGCCGUACCGUGAGGAGCGGUGGAUUGUAUAGAAGUGAGAAUGCCGGUGUGAGUAGCGAGAUGUAGGUGAGAAUCCUACACACCGAAAGCCCAAGGAUUCCAGGGGAAGGUUCGUCCGCCCUGGGUAAGUCGGGACCUAAGGCGAGGCCGAGAGGCGUAGUCGAUGGACAACAGGUAGAGAUUCCUGUACUCAUAUAUAUGUGAAGGAAUGACGGAGAGAGGAAGCUGCAGCCAGCGGCUGGAAGAGCUGGUGCAAGCGAGAUAUCGGGAUGGCAGGCAAAUCCACCAUCCGAAACGAGAAGGCGUGAAGCGUACGGAAAGCUAAGGCGAGUACGGAAGGCAGUGGAGGAGCUUCCAAGAAAAGUUUCUAACGAAAGUAUAUGUGACCCGUACCGAAAAUGGACACACAUGGGUGAGGAGAGAAUCCUAAGGUGAGCGAGAGAACUAUAGCUAAGGAACUCUGCAAAAUGACUCCGUAACUUAGGGAGAAGGAGUGCUCAUAGAGAUAUGAGCCGCAGUGAAACGGCCCAAGCGACUGUUUACCAAAAACACAGCUCUCUGCUAAGCCGCAAGGCGAAGUAUAGGGGGUGACGCCUGCCCGGUGCUGGAAGGUUAAGGGGAGAGGUUAGCGCAAGCGAAGCUUUGAACUUAAGCCCCAGUAAACGGCGGCCGUAACUAUAACGGUCCUAAGGUAGCGAAAUUCCUUGUCAGGUAAGUUCUGACCCGCACGAAAGGCGUAACGAUUUGGGCGCUGUCUCAGCUGUAGACUCGGUGAAGUCUUAGUACCUGUGAAGAUGCAGGUUACCCGCGACUAGACGGAAAGACCCCAUGGAGCUUCACUGCAGGUUGAUAUUGGGAUUUGAUGCAGCAUGUACAGGAUAGGUAGGAGGCAAAGAGAUGGAUACGCCAGUAUUCAAGGAGCCGCUGUUGGGAUACUACCCCUGUUGUAUUGGAUUUCUAACCGGACGACGUAAAGCCGUUGACGGGACAGUGUCAGUCGGGCAGUUUGACUGGGGCGGUCGCCUCCCAAAGAGUAACGGAGGCGCCCAAAGGUACGCUCAGAUUGGAUGGAAACCAAUCAUUGAGUGCAAUUGCAGAAGCGUGCUUGACUGUGAGACAGACAAGUCGAACAGGGACGAAAGUCGGGAAUAGUGAUCCGGCGGUGCCGAAUGGAAGGGCCGUCGCUCAACGGAUAAAAGCUACCCUGGGGAUAACAGGCUGAUCUCCCCCAA